UUGCUUUGCUCUUUGCUGACAGGAUUGCUCACACUGCAGGAGUACGGUUUAUUCUCCUGUACUUGAGCAGAUGUCAAGAGCAGGUUUGGGUUGUUUUCAUUCUGGAUGAUAUUAUCUUCUUUAUACCAGGAUACAGUCAGAUCUGUACGGUCUCCAAAGUCACAGGUGAGUGUAGUGAUCCCAUCUUCGUUGUUGAUCUUCACAGUAGGUUUAGGAGCGUUUG